GACGAACGCUGGCGGCGUGCUUAACACAUGCAAGUCGAACGAUGAAAGCCGGAGCUUGCUCUGGCUGGAUUAGUGGCGAACGGGUGAGUAACACAUGAGCAAUCUGCCCUUGACUCUGGGAUAACUCCGAGAAAUCGGUGCUAAUACCGGAUAUGACCCCUGGCGGCAUCGCUGGGGGUGGAAAGUUUUUCGGUCAAGGAUGAGCUCGCGGCCUAUCAGCUAGUUGGUGAGGUAAUGGCUCACCAAGGCGACGACGGGUAGCCGGCCUGAGAGGGUGACCGGCCACACUGGGACUGAGACACGGCCCAGACUCCUACGGGAGGCAGCAGUGGGGAAUAUUGCACAAUGGGCGCAAGCCUGAUGCAGCAACGCCGCGUGGGGGAUGACGGCCUUCGGGUUGUAAACCUCUUUUAGCAGGGAAGAAGCGAAAGUGACGGUACCUGCAGAAAAAGCACCGGCUAACUACGUGCCAGCCGCCGCCGUAA
rnacentral:rRNA from 1 species